AUGCUCCAGGAUCAGGAGGUGCAUGCCGCCGAGAUGGAACGCACCUUCAUCGCCAUCAAGCCUGACGGCGUCCAGAGAGGCCUCAUUUCUGAGAUAGUGUCCCGAUUCGAGAGAAAAGGGUACAAGCUUGUUGCCAUCAAGCUGGUGGUUCCAUCCAAGCAGUUUGCCGAGAAGCACUACCAUGAUCUCAAGGAAAGACCUUUCUUCAGUGGACUGUGCGACUUCCUCAGCUCCGGUCCCGUGCUUGCCAUGGUAUGGGAAGGAGAGGGCGUUAUCAAGUACGGGAGGAAGCUGAUCGGUGCCACGGACCCAUCGAAAUCUGAGCCAGGAACCAUCAGGGGUGACCUUGCUGUUGUUGUUGGGAGAAACAUCAUCCACGGGAGCGAUGGCCCGGAGACGGCCAAGGACGAGAUCGCACUCUGGUUCCAGCCCAAGGAGCUGGUCUCUUACACCAGCAACGAGGAGAAGUGGAUCUACGGUGUGAACUAA
rnacentral:rRNA from 1 species